CCGUAAACGAUGUCGACUUGGAGGUUGUGCCCUUGAGGCGUGGCUUCCGGAGCUAACGCGUUAAGUCGACCGCCUGGGGAGUACGGCCGCAAGGUUAAAACUCAAAUGAAUUGACGGGGGCCCGCACAAGCGGUGGAGCAUGUGGUUUAAUUCGAUGCAACGCGAAGAACCUUACCUGGUCUUGACAUCCACGGAAGUUUUCAGAGAUGAGAAUGUGCCUUCGGGAACCGUGAGACAGGUGCUGCAUGGCUGUCGUCAGCUCGUGUUGUGAAAUGUUGGGUUAAGUCCCGCAACGAGCGCAACCCUUAUCCUUUGUUGCCAGCGGUCCGGCCGGGAACUCAAAGGAGACUGCCAGUGAUAAACUGGAGGAAGGUGGGGAUGACGUCAAGUCAUCAUGGCCCUUACGACCAGGGCUACACACGUGCUACAAUGGCGCAUACAAAGAGAAGCGACCUCGCGAGAGCAAGCGGACCUCAUAAAGUGCGUCGUAGUCCGGAUUGGAGUCUGCAACUCGACUCCAUGAAGUCGGAAUCGCUAGUAAUCGUGGAUCAGAAUGCCAC
rnacentral:rRNA from 1 species